UAAUCUCUCUCUCUUUAGAUCUCUCAAUCGUUCCUCUUCUAUAACAAAACCCUAGAUCAAAAUUCGUCUGCCUCUUUAGGUCUCUCAACCGUCUGCGACAAUUUUCAAUCGAUCUUCAAAUCACAAUCCUCUACAAUUGACGAUUUAAAUCUUUUAUUAGGGUUUUCACCUCUUCGCCACAAUCCAAUCGGAAGAUUUUUACUCCGUCACCGGAACAUGAACGGAAUGGAUUCCGGUGUGAAGGUACUGAAGCCGGAAGAGAUGAGUGCGAAAGAAGAUUGGAAGAGAUGAGUGCGAAAGAAGAUUGGUUUUAGAACUAGGGUUUAAUGUGGUUUUGAGUUUUUUUUUAAUUCCGUUAAGUUUGUUUCAGAAUAAUCUCUGAUUCGGUUUUUGAUGCUACAGAGUUUUAUAUUUUCUGGUAUUAUGGAUAACCUAUGUUUGAUGAUUCGAUUCGUAUUCUGAUGUUAAUUGUUCCAGAUGGUUCCAGAGAUCACAUUUGGAAACCAUACGCGGGUUGCAUUAGAUGUUGGAUGUGUGGUGGCAAGUUUUCGUGCUAAUUUGUUUUCAAGAAACGUACUCACUAUGUCUGUAGCUCCAAAAGAUGUAAAUGAGAACCAGAUUCAAUUUGCACUAGAACGUGGUGUGCCUGCAAUGGUUGCAACAUUUGCAACAAGGAGACUCUUAUACCCGAGCCAAGCUUUUGACUUAAUUCAUUGCUCAAGAUGUAGAGUCAACUCGACUCGUGAUGAUGAGAUUUUGCUACUUGAGGUCAACAGAUUCCUAAGAGCAGGAGGGUAUUUUGCCUGGGCAGCACAACAAGUUUACAAGCACGAACCACUGCUCGAAGAAAGCGAUGAACGAAAAUGGUCAGGAAUUGGAAUUCGGGUCCGUCCAUGUUGGUGGGUUUGUACAGUGGAGAUGGUGGUGAUAUGUUACGGUGGUUAGUGGUGAUGGUUUCCGGUGAUGUGGUUACUGUUGUUGAUGUGGUUCAAGAAUAAGGUAUGAUGUUUCUAGAGCUUUGUGAUUUCCUUUUGCUUUUGUUGAGGUAUAUAUAUAGAGAUAUGUGUGUGUGUGUGUUUUCUGGCUGCUUUACUUUUGAUUUUUUUUUUGAGAAAAAUGGGUUGUUUGACUAUAAAAGUCAAAUGUUGAUUUGGUUCUAUAUGUUUUAUUUGAAUGGUGUUAUUUGAUACCAGAUGAGGAAUUAGGUGAUAGAAAUGCAUCAAAUGAUGUUCAAUCAGUCUUCAAUAGUGUUUCAUUAGUUAUAUUUCAGGGGGUAUUUCAUUAUUUUGUUUAUAUGUCAUGGGUAUUCCAUUAUUUUGUUUUUAGGUGAUAUAGAUUUUCGCUUUAGUUUCUGAUUCUUGGAACCGAAUUGUAGCAAUCAGUUAGAUAGCUUAUUAACAUGCAUAAUUUACAUAUACUUCUUUCAUGUCAGCAGAUAUAAUAAUCUUGAUAACAUGUAUAUUUUCCCAUAGUUCUUUCAUUUGUAGAAGGACAAUCUGUUGCUAUUACUAUAGUCGUUUCAGUCAAAGGAGUCUUGCCAGCUCUAUCUUCUUUUGGGUGUGAUCAUUUUGGAAAUUCAUCCUAUAGAUGGAUAUUUGGAUCAUUUGCUAUCCCUGCUACAAGUUUUCAUCUUUUUUUUCUAUUUUUAUUAACUAAACAAAUUAUCUGGUGUAGAAUUCUUUUUUGGAAGUUUGUGCAUUAGGAUUUCACGAUUUCACUGAAACUACUUGUGAACUCUUUUAAUUUCUUAACAGCAUACAGGUAAAUUAUCUAGAGGCGUAUACAGCGCAAAUAUUAUAUUCUUUUACCUUUUUUGUGAUUGAUUAUUGUAAAGCAUGACACUCUUUCUUUUGGUAUAUCUCUCAACCACGAUGGAUCUUUUUUGUGUGCAUAUGGAGCGCACGUUCAUUGCUAUCAAGUCAGAUGGUGUGCAAAGAGGACUGGUGGAUACUGAAAUGUCAUGCUUGAAACAAGGUGAUAAUGGAGAUUGGUAGAAUUUUUUUCCAAGUUGUGGGAAUGGAUGAAACUUUAAAGGGAGACAUACUGAUAUAAAGCACAGGAAAGGAAUCAUUGCGAUGGGGUAAACACAUGUCACCCGUAUCUAAAUCAUAUAGAAGGCCCAGCUGGUACUCCGUAUGAAAAUGGCAUUUUUCACAUGAAACUGAUCUUGUCCUAUGAGUUUCCCCAGUCACUUCCUAAAGUGUCGGAAGGGUGGAGGCAAAUCACAGCAAAACGAGCAGAUGAUGGAUCUCACAGUUGAAAUUGAAGGCAAUAUUGAGACUUUAGAAGAGGCUCUGGAUAAAUUGACAUGUACCGAGAUAGUGGAUGGUGAAAACAAGUAUAAAUGAAGGUGCACUUUUAGUAUCAAGUUGGUUACAAAUGAUAACACAUGUUGAUUUUAAUAAGUAUUGAAAAUUCAGCCUUUCACCUAUUGGAGUUGCCUUUGUACUUUUGCAGUGAAAAUUUGGUCCAAAAUAUAAUUUUGGUUUGAAAGUAGUUUUUAUAUCACAGAGGAAAGUCAUGGUAAAUAUAGUUAUUUAUCGACUACCACUGAACAAUUUUUUUUUAACCCGCACUACCCCUCAACUUCUCUUCAAGAUUCAUAAUAUGAUUAUUAUUGUAUCCUACUAAGAUUUUAGUUGUACCUAAC